GUUCAAGAAUAACAGGGCAAGGCCUUUAUACCAUCACUGACUGCAUGCCUGUACCCCUGGCCCUGGGCUACCAUGUUCCAUGUACACCAGCUAGGAUCUAGGAGUCAAGAGUCACCUGCAUCUGCAGCUUGAAAGAAAAGACAAUUGCAAGUUAGUCAGUGCUCAUUGCUAAACUCAACUUAUUGCCCAAUACUCUCUUUCAGAUUUUCUUAAAGAGUAGAUAGUACCACCAUCUCAAAGAAAAAAGUUAAGUUCCAUUGCAUGCUGUUGGCGCAUGGCAUGUACAUGAUCCCAAAACUCUCUGAAUUCACAGUUUACAAAUCACUGCUAUACCGUAUCGGCGUAUAACUCCACCAUGUACCAGCUUCAAAGAAAAAGGAUUUAAGUUAUGUUGCUCAUUGCUAAAUAAAUGUGUUUACGUGUUUCUUCCAGCUGCAGAUUUUACCGUACCUCGGCCCCACAAUGUGUACCAGCUAGGAGUCUACUUAACCACCUUCAUCGACUUCAAAGAAACGACUUGCAAGUUAUGUCAGAUUCCAUAAAACUAUAUAGCUAGCUAGAGGGCAACUGUCCCUGGCCUGGUUUCGACCUUCAUCUGUAGCAUACUGAUUUACGAGUUUGCACUGGUUUCGACUGGUCAACUUAACCACCUUCAUCGACUUCAAAGAAACGACUUGCAAGGGCGAAAAUGAUCUGAGGGAUGUAGCGUUCAUGAAACCAAACGAAACGCCUGCAGUUCACUGUACUGGAAUUUCAAGAAACGCUAAGUGAUGAACACUAAAAACAAUUUACUGACAGAAGAAAUUAUUGUGCUGCAUGUCAUGUGAUCCAGUGAUCUUAUUCUAUCAUAAACUCAUUGUUCUAA